rnacentral:rRNA from 1 species
UACGAAGGGGGCUAGCGUUGCUCGGAAUCACUGGGCGUAAAGGGUGCGUAGGCGGGUCUUUAAGUCAGGGGUGAAAUCCUGGAGCUCAACUCCAGAACUGCCUUUGAUACUGGAAGAUCUUGAGUUCGGGAGAGGUGAGUGGAACUGCGAGUGUAGAGGUGAAAUUCGUAGAUAUUCGCAAGAACACCAGUGGCGAAGGGCGGCUCACUGGCCCGAUACUGACGCUGAGGCACGGAAAGCGAUGGGGAGCCAAACGGGGGA